rnacentral:rRNA from 1 species
AGCGAGCGCUGGCGGCAGGCCUAACACAUGCAAGUCGAACGAACCCUUCGGGGUUAGUGGCGGACGGGUGAGUAACACGUGGGAACGUGCCUUUAGGUUCGGAAUAACUCAGGGAAACUUGUGCUAAUACCGAAUGUGCCCCUCGGGGGAAAGUUUUAUCGCCUUUAGAGCGGCCCGCGUCUGAUUAGCUAGUUGGCGAGGUAAAGGCUCACCAAGGCUACGAUCAGUAGCUGGUCUGAGAGGAUGACCAGCCACAUUGGGACUGAGACACGGCCCAAACUCCUACGGGAGGCAGCAGUGGGGAAUCUUGCGCAAUGGGCGAAAGCCUGACGCAGCCGUGCCGCGUGGAUGAUGAAGGUCUUAGGAUUGUAAAAUCCUUUCACCGGUGAAGAUAAUGACUGUAGCCGGAGAAGAAGCCCCGGCUAACUUCGUGCCAGCCGCCGCGGUAAAAC